AUAGUACUUCCUCUGUCUCAAAAAACUUGUCUUAAUUUUGUCUAAAUACGAAUUUAUCUAGAGACGUUUUUGUGUUAGAUACGUAUGUAUUUAAAUAAAUUUAAGACAAGCUUUUUGAGACGGGCAAUACUAA
rnacentral:pre_miRNA from 1 species